rnacentral:misc_RNA from 1 species
GUGAAUCAUCGAAUUUUUGAACGCAAAUUGCACUCUCUGGUAUUCCAUAGAGUAUGCCUGUUUGAGGGUCAGUUUAAAUAAAAAUCGGUGUUGGGUCUUCCUUUCUUGUUUACGCACCGGGUGUGGGUCGUCUUUCCUUCGGUUAAGUGACCUAGAAUUUUGCAUGAUUUUUUCGAACGUAUGUAAAUGAUUUUACGUACGUUGUGCGAUAUCGAAUACUAGUUGCGGUCAUCCUCAUGAUCCGGGCCU